rnacentral:rRNA from 1 species
UACGAAGGGGGCUAGCGUUGUUCGGAAUCACUGGGCGUAAAGGGCGCGUAGGCGGCCUGGCAAGUCGGGGGUGAAAGCCUGUGGCUCAACCACAGAAUUGCCCUUCGAUACUGUAGAGCUUGAGACCGGAAGAGGUAAGUGGAACUGCGAGUGUAGAGGUGAAAUUCGUAGAUAUUCGCAAGAACACCAGUGGCGAAGGCGGCUCACUGGCCCGAUACUGACGCUGAGGCACGAAAGCGUGGGGAGCAAACAGGG